ACGAGAAAGUGGAGCAAUCCAUGAGUAAAGUGGCGUACGGGUGAGUAACACGUGGGUAAUCUGCCUCUGGGUGGGGAAUAACUCUGGGAAACCGGAGCUAAUACCGCAUAAGCCUGUAAAGGGAAAGGUGCAAAUCGCCGAGAGAGGAGCCCGCGGCUGAUUAGCUUGUUGGUGGGGUAAAGGCUCACCAAGGCUGAGAUCGGUAGCCGGCCUGAGAGGGCACACGGCCACACUGGCACUGAAACACGGGCCAGACUCCUACGGGAGGCAGCAGUGGGGAAUCUUGCACAAUGGGGGCAACCCUGAUGCAGCGACGCCGCGUGAGCGAUGAAGCCCUUCGGGGUGUAAAGCUCUUUCGGCAGGGACGAUAAUGACGGUACCUGCAGAAGAAGCUGCGGCUAACUACGUGCCAGCAGCCGCGGUAAUACGUAGGCAGCGAGCGUUG
rnacentral:rRNA from 1 species